CGUAGGUGAACCUGCGGAGGGAUCAUUA
rnacentral:rRNA from 25 species